rnacentral:rRNA from 1 species
CCUACGGGAGACAGCAGUGAGGAAUAUUGGUCAAUGGACGCAAGUCUGAACCAGCCAUGCCGCGUGCAGGAAGACGGCCCUAUGAGUUGUAAACUGCUUUUGUACGAGGGUAAACGCAGAUACGCGUAUCUGUCUGAAAGUAUCGUACGAAUAAGGAUCGGCUAACUCCGUGCCAGCAGCCGCGGUAAUACGGAGGAUUCAAGCGUUAUCCGGAUUUAUUGGGUUUAAAGGGUGCGUAGGCGGUCGGAUAAGUUAGAGGUGAAAUCCCGAGGCUCAACUUCGGAAUUGCCUCUGAUACUGUUCGGCUAGAGAGUAGGUGCGGUAGGCGGAAUGUAUGGUGUAGCGGUGAAAUGCUUAGAGAUCAUACAGAACACCGAUUGCGAAGGCAGCUUACCAAGCUACUUCUGACGUUGAGGCACGAAAGCGUGGGGAGCGAACAGGAUUAGAUACCCGGGUAGUC